GAGGAGCUUGCUCUUUUGAUCAGUGGCGAACGGGUGAGUAACACGUGAGCAAUCUGCCCUUGACUCUGGGAUAAGCGUUGGAAACGACGUCUAAUACCGGAUACGACCUUGGAAGGCAUCUUCUGGGGUGGAAAGAAUUUUGGUCAAGGAUGAGCUCGCGGCCUAUCAGCUAGUUGGUGAGGUAAUGGCUCACCAAGGCGACGACGGGUAGCCGGCCUGAGAGGGUGACCGGCCACACUGGGACUGAGACACGGCCCAGACUCCUACGGGAGGCAGCAGUGGGGAAUAUUGCACAAUGGGCGAAAGCCUGAUGCAGCAACGCCGCGUGAGGGACGACGGCCUUCGGGUUGUAAACCUCUUUUAGUAGGGAAGAAGCGUUAAAGUGACGGUACCUGCAGAAAAAGCACCGGCUAACUACGUGCCAGCAGCCGCGGUAAUACGUAGGGUGCAAGCGUUGUCCGGAAUUAUUGGGCGUAAAGAGCUCGUAGGCGGUUUGUCGCGUCUGCUGUGAAAACCCGAGGCUCAACCUCGGGCCUGCAGUGGGUACGGGCAGACUAGAGUGCGGUAGGGGAGAUUGGAAUUCCUGGUGUAGCGGUGGAAUGCGCAGAUAUCAGGAGGAACACCAAUGGCGAAGGCAGAUCUCUGGGCCGUAACUGACGCUGAGGAGCGAAAGCAUGGGGAGCGAACAGGAUUAGAUACCCUGGUAGUCCAUGCCGU
rnacentral:rRNA from 1 species